rnacentral:snRNA from 1 species
AUCGCUUCUCGGGCAUUUUGGCUACGAUCAAGUGUAGUAUUUGUUUUUAUCAGUUUAAUAAUAAUAAUAAUAAUAGAUAAAUAAAAAAGAAGAAAAAACCCAU